rnacentral:rRNA from 1 species
UACGUAGGGUGCGAGCGUUGUCCGGAAUUAUUGGGCGUAAAGAGCUCGUAGGCGGUUUGUCGCGUCGUUCGUGAAAUCUCACGGCUUAACUGUGAGCGUGCGGGCGAUACGGGCAGACUAGAGUACUGCAGGGGAGACUGGAAUUCCUGGUGUAGCGGUGGAAUGCGCAGAUAUCAGGAGGAACACCGGUGGCGAAGGCGGGUCUCUGGGCAGUAACUGGCGCUGAGGAGCGAAAGCGUGGGGAGCGAACAGG